GAGCUGCCACUGGAUCUGCUUAAUCUGGAACCAGGGUCAAAGCAGUGACUGUCGGAAGCCGCCAGGCCAAGGUGUCUUUCUAUCAUGGCUGGUGUCUUAUCACCAUAACCAGAGAGGGCUUCCCUUGGAACUCUAGAAAGACGAUGACAGCAAAAAGAAACUAUUCUGUUGAUGGCUCUGGAGAGGCCCCCUGGAACUCUAGUUCUCAGCAGUCAACUCUGGUGAUGGAGGAUGGGAUUUAAAUGGUGGACACCUAAAGGAGAAGAAAGCACAAAAGAGACAACAGUGCAAGAUGGGAAACCAUCUCUCCAGGAUGACCCCCAACCAAGAAUCUUCAGUCUACAGAACUCAAAGAAUCAAAAGGUUGCCACUGGAACCCUUAACAAAGCAAAGAACUAAGUCAUUCAAUAAGGAAAACCUGGCUUCCAGUAGCAUGACUAGCUUAUAUGUUCUGAUUCAAGACUAGCCAAUCAGCUUCCAAGUUUGAAAUUCCCCUAACCCUUUAAAUUUUACACCAACCCUGGAUCAUGGAGACAGAUUUGAGAGCUUUGUCUCCUGUCUCUCUGCUGGUCAACCUCACAAUAAAGAUUUUUUUCCCCCUCAAAACCAGUGACAUAUUAUUGGCUCCUAUACACAUCAGGCAUUGAACACUUGCUUGAUAACAAAAACAUCAUUGGGAAUGAAGGCUUCAUGGACAAAGAAGAGUUUUCUGGGGGAACGUCACAUUUGCAAAACUGAUAUUAGAUGGAAUUUAAGCAGUGAGAAUUAUGGUUUAAUAAGUGUAGUGAAAGAUAAAAUUCUUCUAUUUGGGUGUAUUUAUCUUUGUGAGGUUUUCGUUUUGCAAUAACACCCAUUAGGA